UGUUGUUAGAGAAGAACAAGGAUAAGAGUAACUGCUUGUCCCUUGACGGUAUCUAACCAGAAAGCCACGGCUAACUACGUGCCAGCAGCCGCGGUAAUACGUAGGUGGCAAGCGUUGUCCGGAUUUAUUGGGCGUAAAGCGCGCGCAGGCGGUCUUUUAAGUCUGAUGUGAAAGCCCCCGGCUUAACCGGGGAGGGUCAUUGGAAACUGGAAGACUGGAGUGCAGCAGAGGAGAGUGGAAUUCCACGUGUAGCGGUGAAAUGCGUAGAUAUGUGGAGGAACACCAGUGGAGAAGGCGACUCUCUGGUCUGUAACUGACGCUGAGGCGCGACAGCGUGGGGAGCAAACAGGAUU
rnacentral:rRNA from 1 species